rnacentral:SRP_RNA from 1 species
GCGGUUACUAGGUUGAAAGCUAGGGCCUUUCUUUGCCAUAAGUGCUCUAUAGGAUGGACCGAAGCCGAUUGGAGAUGAUUCUGAAUAUAUAUACGCCUGAUUCCAUGGCAAUGAGAUGCCGCCCUUGGAAUUCUCCGUUAUAGAGGGACUUUCGUAGGAAAGUUUCCUACUAUAUUUAAUGAUCGAACCCAGCGAGGCUCGGGAGAGAGCAGCGUAAGGUCUAAGGUUGAAUGCUCAAGGUCAACGGCUUUGAGACCAGGUUUUGGAAACGAUUUAUAGGAUGACCAUCGAAUUUUGGGUAAUCGC